rnacentral:rRNA from 1 species
GCCGAAAGGCAGGAGUGCCCGCAAGGGAGCGCGGAGACAGGUGGUGCAUGGCUGUCGUCAGCUCGUGUCGUGAGAUGUUGGGUUAAGUCCCGUAACGAGUGCAACCCUCACCCCUUGUUGCCACCAGGUUAUGCUGGGCACUCUAGGGGAACUGCCCCGGUCAACGGGGAGGAAGGCGGGGACGACGUCAAGUCAUCAUGCCCCUUACGUCCUGGGCUACACACGUGCUACAAUGGCCGGUACAGAGGGAUGCUAGACCGCGAGGUGGAGCUAAACCCAAAAAGCCGGUCUAAGUUCAGAUUGGAGUCUGCAACUCGACUCCAUGAAGGAGGAAUCGCUAGUAAUCGCGUAUCAGCACGACGCGGUGAAUACGUUCCCGGGCUUUGUACACACCGCCCGUCACACCACGAAAGCCAGCUGUACUCGAAGUCGCUGAG